AUGUCAAACAGCUACGAAUGUAGUAUCAACGAGAACUUGGAAUAUUAUCUCAAGGAAAACAAACUGGAAAAAUAUAAAUCUCACAGUACCAACACCUUGUGUAGUACUCUUGGAUUCGGUUUGCAUUCAGCUGAAUUGCUGCUGCCUCAAAGAAAAUUAAGAUGGACUGAACAACUUAACUCAAAAAGACUUGCCAUGAGGUGCUGAAGCCUUGUUUCAUUGUUUCGGAGAGACUGGACCUAAAUGGCGCAGCAUGACUUUGCUCCAGCCUGGCUUAAUUUUCCUACUCCACCAUCAUCAACAAAGGUAUAUUCUUUGUUGUUCUUUUGAACAGGCACUCAUUAUUAGAGAAGUCAAAAUACAACUUCAAUCAUAGUAAAAAUGCAAAUCUCUUUAUGAAUAGGGUGAUAACAGAUGAUAUCUAGAUGAUAUCUUUUUGUCAUGAUUUAAGUAGUUGUACUGUGGUUGUCGGAUUGUACCUCCAGUAGAGUCUUUUGCUUGAGCAGCUGAGUUCAUGGAAGGAAGCAUGUGCCUGGCCUCAUUAUCAGAGCUGCUGUUGGAUUCAGAUUGGCUUCCUUAGGAGUUUAAAAUGAGUUAGUGUAUUUUGUGCUAGAAAUACCAAGACAGGGGCAUGUGUUUGAUGUUCUUGCUUCUGAUUUUGCUCUGUGUGCUAUACUUCUUACAGAAGUGUGAUUCUGUCAUCCAAGUGAUUUAAAAAAAUGGUUUUGAAAUAGGCCUUUAGAAAUGGCUCUUGAGUUGCUAGUGGGAUGCUUGUUACCACUGGUGAAGUGUGACACUUUCAAAUAGUUGUGCAUCUUCACUCUGGUGAAGACUACUGUUA
rnacentral:lncRNA from 1 species